CAUGGGAAAUGAUGCCAAGAUUCAAACUGUUGAUCAGCGGCCCCAGCCAGCCGUGCUGAAUUGGUAUUUUUGCACGUCAAUCUGAUCCCGAA